GCACAAUGGGCGCCAGCCUGAUGCACCCAUGCCGCGUGUAUGAAGAAGGCCUUCGGGUUGUAAAGUACUUUCAGUUGUGAGGAAGGGGGUAGUGUUAAUAGCGCUAUCUCUUGACGUUUGCAACAGAAGAAGCACCGGCUAACUCCGUGCCAGCAGCCGCGGUAAUACGGAGGGUGCGAGCGUUAAUCGGAAUUACUGGGCGUAAAGCGCAUGCAGGUGGUUCAUUAAGUCAGAUGUGAAAGCCCGGGGCUCAACCUCGGAACUGCAUUUGAAACUGGUGAACUAGAGUGCUGUAGAGGGGGGUAGAAUUUCAGGUGUAGCGGUGAAAUGCGUAGAGAUCUGAAGGAAUACCAGUGGCGAAGGCGGCCCCCUGGACAGACACUGACACUCAGAUGCGAAAGCGUGGGGAGCAAACAGGAUUAGAUACCCUGGUAGUCCACGCCGUAAACGAUGUCUACUUGGAGGUUGUGGCCUUGAGCCGUGGCUUUCGGAGCUAACGCGUUAAGUAGACCGCCUGGGGAGUACGGUCGCAAGAUUAAAACUCAAAUGAAUUGACGGGGGCCCCGACAAGCGUGGGAGCAUGUGGUUUAAUUCGUUGCAACGCGAAAAACCUUACCUACUCUUGACAUC
rnacentral:rRNA from 1 species